rnacentral:rRNA from 1 species
UACGAAGGGGGCUAGCGUUGCUCGGAAUUACUGGGCGUAAAGCGCACGUAGGUGGUUUUCUAAGUCAGCUGUGAAAUCCCCGGGCUCAACCUGGGAACUGCAUUUGUGACUGCAUCGCUGGAGUACGGCAGAGGGGGAUGGAAUUCCGCGUGUAGCAGUGAAAUGCGUAGAUAUGCGGAGGGACACCGGUGGCGAAGGCGGCGACCUGGUCCUUGACUGACGCUGAGGCGCGAGAGCGUGGGGAGCAAACAG